rnacentral:rRNA from 1 species
CAGUAGCCGCGGUAAUACAGAGGAUGCAAGCGUUAUCCGGAAUGAUUGGGUGUAAAGCGUCUGUAGGUGGCUUUUCAAGUCCGCCAUCAAAUCCCUGGGCUCAACCCUGGACAGGCAGUGGAAACUACCAAGCUGGAGUACGGUAGGGGCAGAGGGAAUUUCCGGUGGAGAGGUGAAAUGCGUUGAGAUUGGAAAGAACAUCAACGGCGAAAGCACUCUGCUGGGCCGACACUGACACUGAGAGACGAAAGCUAGGGGAGCAAAUGGGAUUAGAUACCCCCGUAGUCCCUGUCCUUAUACA